rnacentral:rRNA from 1 species
CAAUAGCGUAUACUAAUGUUGUUGCAGUUAAAAAGCUCGUAGUUGAACUUCUGGUAGGAGUGUCCCGGCCUUUUUGUUUUUACAAAUUGUAUGCUGUGUGACAUCUCUGGCCAUCCUUCUUCUUUGUUUAAAGAAGAUCUUUCACUGUAAAAAAAUUAGGGUGUUCAGAGCAAAAGUUUCCUUGGAAUAUAUUAGUAUGGGAUGAUAAGAUAGGCUCUAGAUGCUAUUUUGUUGGUUUGCACAUUUAGAGAAUGAUUAACAGGGACAGUUGGGGGUAUUCGUAUUUACAUGUCAGAGGUGAAAUCCUUGGAUUUUGGAAAGACGAACUACUGCGAAAGCAUUUACCAAGGAUGUUUUCAUUAA